GAUGAACGCUAGCGGCAGGCUUAACACAUGCAAGUCGAGGGGUAUAGUUCUUCGGAACUAGAGACCGGCGCACGGGUGCGUAACGCGUAUGCAAUCUACCUUUUGCAGAGGGAUAGCCCAGAGAAAUUUGGAUUAAUACCUCAUAGUAUGUGAGAAUGGCAUCAUUUUCACAUUACUGUCACAACGGCAAAAGAUGAGCAUGCGUCCCAUUAGCUUGUUGGUAAGGUAACGGCUUACCAAGGCAAUGAUGGGUAGGGGUCCUGAGCGGGAGAUCCCCCACACUGGUACUGAGACACGGACCAGACUCCUACGGGAGGCAGCAGUGAGGAAUAUUGGACAAUGGGCGCAAGCCUGAUCCAGCCAUGCCGCGUGCAGGAUGACGGUCCUAUGGAUUGUAAACUGCUUUUGUACAGGAAGAAACACUGGUUCGUGAACCAGCUUGACGGUACUGUAAGAAUAAGGAUCGGCUAACUCCGUGCCAGCCGCCGCAGUAACAC
rnacentral:rRNA from 1 species